rnacentral:rRNA from 1 species
AUACGAAGGGGGCUAGCGUUGUUCGGAAUCACUGGGCGUAAAGCGCGCGUAGGUGGAUCAAUUAGUUGAGGGGGAAAUCCCGGGGCUCAACCUCGGAACUGCCUUCAAUACUGUUGAUCUUGAGACCGAGAGAGGUGAGUGGAAUUCCUAGUGUAGAGGUGAAAUUCGUAGAUAUUAGGAAGAACACCAGUGGCGAAGGCGGCUCACUGGCUCGGUACUGACGCUGAGGUGCGAAAGCGUGGGGAGCAAACAGGAUUAGAAACCCUAGUAGUCC